UCGUCUUGUUCCAACAAUCUCAGCAACCUCU
rnacentral:piRNA from 1 species